AACAGAUUUACUUCGGUAAUGACGUUAGGAAAGCGAGCGGGCGGGAUGGGUGAGUAACACGUGGGGAACCCUGCCCCAUAGUCUGGGAUACCACUUGGAAACAGGUGCUAAUACCGGAUAAGAAAGCAGAUCGCAUGAUCAGCUUUUAAAAGGCGGCGUAAGCUGUCGCUAUGGGAUGGCCCCGCGGUGCAUUAGCUAGUUGGUAAGGUAAAGGCUUACCAAGGCGAUGAUGCAUAGCCGAGUUGAGAGACUGACGUGCUGCUGUGGGACUGAGACACGGCCCAAACUCCUACGGGAGGCAGCAGUAGGGAAUCUUCCACAAUGGACGCAAGUCUGAUGGAGCAACGCCGCGUGAGUGAAGAAGGUUUUCGGAUCGUAAAGCUCUGUUGUUGGUGAA
rnacentral:rRNA from 1 species